ACGCUCGCUGGCGGAGGGAUGCCGUGAUCGCGGAGGUGGUUCUCCCAGGGGGAGACUUACCCACCACACGGAUGUGCUGACCCUGCGAUUUCCCCAAACGUGGGGAACUCGACAGCGUAAUUUGUGGUCGUGGGGGACUGCACUCCGCCUCCCU
rnacentral:snRNA from 1 species